ACGCUGGCGGCGUGCCUACUACAUGCAAGUCGAGCGAAUCUGAGGGAGCUUGCUCCCAAAGAUUAGCGGCGGACGGGUGAGUAACACGUGGGCAACCUGCCUGUAAGACUGGGAUAACUCCGGGAAACCGGGGCUAAUACCGGAUAAUAUCUAUUUAUACAUAUAAUUAGAUUGAAAGAUGGUUCUGCUAUCACUUACAGAUGGGCCCGCGGCGCAUUAGCUAGUUGGUGAGGUAACGGCUCACCAAGGCGACGAUGCGUAGCCGACCUGAGAGGGUGAUCGGCCACACUGGGACUGAGACACGGCCCAGACUCCUACGGGAGGCAGCAGUAUAGAAUCUUCCGCAAUGGACGAAAGUCUGACGGAGCAACGCCGCGUGAGUGAUGAAGGUUUUCGGAUCGAAAACUCUGUUGUU
rnacentral:rRNA from 2 species